rnacentral:rRNA from 1 species
AUUGAACGCUGGCGGAAGGCUUAACACAUGCAAGUCGAACGAGUGGCGGACGGGGGAGUAAUGCUUGGGAAUCUAGCUUAUGGAGGGGGAUAACUACGGGAAACUGUAGCUAAUACCGCGUACCAUAGGCUGAGCCCAAGUGGGAUUAGGUAGUUGGUGAGGUAAAGGCUCACCAAGCCGACGAUCUCUAGCUGGUCUGAGAGGAUGACCAGCCAAACUGGGACUGAUACACGGCCCCUACGCCUACGUGAGGCAGCAGGGGGGAAUAUUUCGCAAUGGGGGCAACCUGACGCAGCCAUGCCGCGUGACUGAAGAAGGCCUUCGGGUGGUAAAGUUUUUUCGGUAGCGAGGCGUUAACUACAGAAGAUGCACCGGCUAACUCCGUGCCAGCAGCCGCGGUAAUUC